GGCUCGAUGGUCUAGUGGUAUGAUUCUCACUUAGGGCGCAAGUCUACGUGUACUAUACACUUAAGUGAGAGGUUCUGGGUUCGAAUCCCGGUCGAGCCU
rnacentral:tRNA from 1 species